AUGGAACUAAAAAGAAUUUUUCCUUGGUCCCUGGAUGCAAUGGUUGGCUUGUGACUAUCAAGUACAAGACAUUAUGGUUGUCUUUUCUCCUUCGUUAGUGUAAUAAUAUGUAACAAACUACGCAAGGGCCGGCCUUUGGCAGAACCAUGGCAGGCGCCUUGGUUUCUCCUUAAACAAAUGCGGCGAAAGCACACAAAACCAACAACUAUUGUACAACAUUAGUUUUCUAAAUGACCUCUCUUCCAUGGAACAGGUGGUUAAUUCUUAGAGGAGAUGUGUUUCACUAUUGGUAGAAAGCCCACAAGGGCAUCGAAGGAGGAGGCGGCAAAGAGGAGAAGGAAAGAGAAGGAGAGGAAGC
rnacentral:lncRNA from 1 species